UACGGGGGGGGCAAGCGUUGUUCGGAAUUACUGGGCGUAAAGGGCGCGUAGGCGGCCUUCUAAGUCAGACGUGAAAUCCCUCGGCUCAACCGAGGAACUGCGUCUGAUACUGGAAGGCUUGAAUCCGGGAGAGGGAUGCGGAAUUCCAGGUGUAGCGGUGAAAUGCGUAGAUAUCUGGAGGAACACCGGUGGCGAAGGCGGCAUCCUGGACCGGCAUUGACGCUGAGGCGCGAAAGCCAGGGGAGCAAACGGG
rnacentral:rRNA from 1 species